rnacentral:rRNA from 1 species
AAUCGAGGGGANAAUCUCGGAUCUUGAGACCGGCGAACGGGUGAKUAACACGUAGGUGAUCUGUCGCGUGGUUGGGGAUAGCCUGUGGAAACACAGGGUAAUACCGAAUAGGGUCGCACUCCUGUGGGGGAGCGAGGAAAGAGGCUUCGGCCUCGCCGUGCGAUGAGCCUGCGGCUGAUUAGCUUGUUGGUGGGGUAACGGCCUACCAAGGCGACGAUCAGUAGCCGGCCUGAGAGGGUGAUCGGCCACACUGGGACUGAGAUACGGCCCAGACUCCUACGGGAGGCAGCAGCUAAGAAUCUUCCGCAAUGGACGAAAGUCUGACGGAGCGACGCCGCGUGGGUGAAGAAGGCCGUGAGGUUGUAAAGCCCUUUUCUGCCUGAGGAAUAAGCACCUGAGGGAAUGCGGGUGUGAUGACGGUAGGGCAGGAAUAAGCCCCGGCUAAUUACGUGCCAGCAGCCGCGGUAACACGUAUGGGGCGAGCGUUGUUCGGAAUUAUUGGGCGUAAAGGGCGCGUAGGCGGAAAUKCAAGUCUGGUGUGAAAGACCGCAGCUCAACUUCGGGGCCGCGCUGGRAACUGCAUAUCUUGAAUCCUUGRGGGGGAACUGGAAUUCCUGGUGUAGAGGUCAAAUCUGUAGAGAUCAGGAAGAACACCGGUGGCGAAGSCGAGUUCCUYGCAAGUGAUUGACGCUGAGGCGCGAAAGCUGGGGGAGSGAACRCGAUUAGAUASCCUGGUAGUCCACGCC